CUUGGUCAACACAAGGACUGUUGAGGCUGUGGUGCUGUCGAUGGAGCCUCCAGGUAUAAGAAAAUUUCCAUAUGAAACCUAGUACUACAUCAUUCAGAUAUAAAAAGGGAUGAAGUUCUUGGGCUGGAGAGAUGGUCCAGUGUUGUGUUCUUGGGAGAAUUCACGAUGCCAGCUGCUGACAGCACUGCAUCUGAGGGACCAGAGGUCUCAGAAGCAUGCGAUGAGACAGAAAACGACCACUCAGCAUUUCCAUGUUAGUUCAAUGAUGAAUUUUUUUCAGAGCAACUGAAAUAAAGGCAAGUCUUAUUGGGAAGAGGCUUUAAGAAGCAGUUUCAUGAAAUUGGGGGAAAAGAUGAUGGAAAAGCAGGACCCAUGAUGGAGGGAAGCAGACGUGGUAAUGACAGGCAUGGCCGUGAGCAGCUGUGGUGGAUGAAGGAGUAUUCAGCCCUGUUGCUGCCUCCACUGCUGUGUGCGGCAGCCUGGAGCUCUCACAGUCCCCAGACAUGCUCCCCUACCUGGCUCUGAACACCACCUCUGAGACAAAGAAUGGCUUUUUUCUGGAUUAUGUCUCCUCCAAAGACUUCCAAGGUCCGUGCUACCACCAGGGGCCAUCUUGAUGGUCUGUGAUAUCCAUAGUCUGUGCUGCAGCCAGAUGCCAUCUUGAAGCCCAAGAUUCAUGCUGCCACUAAGGUCCUGGUUGCUGUCUGUGAUCUGAGCUGCCACCAGAAACCAGGUGUAUAAGGGAGAAUGCACGAGCCCCACCACCACCACCCUCUUCAGUAGGUACAGGACAGACCCAGACACCAAAUUCUCAGCACAAAGGAGAAUUUAUUUCCCUAGAGGGGCAAGUAGGGAGGGCUGCCUCUGGAUUAGGCAGAGGCAGGCAGCAAGCAGGUGUAUUUUAUAGGUGUGGGUUUUUAAGUUUUGAGUAAUUUUGAUGGAUGAACCUUCUUGUUCUGUCUCAGGAAUGAAUCAGUAGCCAGAUAAGGGAAUGGUCCUUGGGGGCUAGCUUUAGGGGUGGACUCUAAUGAUUUUUAGCAAGGGAGAGGGAAGUGGGGAGGGGGCAAAAAUCUGUGGAUGCUGUGUUUGCUGUGCUCAGGCCUGUUAGAACCCCUCAGUGUGGAAUUCCAUGGCCUGUGCUGCUCGCCUGCUAUCGGCAAGAAAGCUUUUCCAGUGGUAUCCGUGACUCCAGGCUCGUAACUAGGAAUGGCUGGUUGAAGGCUUCUGUGACAAAUGUGCCCCCCACUCCAUCCCUAUACAUCCAGAAAAAAGAGAGAAAUGGUUCAGACAGAGCUAUUGAAGAGCCCUUAAAGACAAAACUAUGAGAGUAGACCUUGGGAAAGGGGGAGGGGAGGGGGAGGGGAAGCUGUGGUAAGGAUGUAGUAUAUGAGAGGAGAGUAUAUUAUUAAAAAAGAAGCAAACGAUGCUGAAGUGUGUCUCUUCACCAUUGAUGGCUUCUGGCAGAAGUGGGGUGUGGGGAUGGAGUCGGUUUUCUUUAAGGGGCUGGCCACUGGUAGUUUGACCAUGCUCCAGUGAAUAUAUGAGCAACACAAAUUACAGUUGUUAUGGGAGGGCGGACCUGGGAAAAUGUGAACCCAGUAUGAUCAGGAUGCAUUGCACUAAAUUCCCAAAUAAUAAAAAUAUUAUGUUGGGGUGUGUGUGUGUAUAGUCUUGCAGAGUACCCAAGUUCGAUUCCUAGAGCCCAUGUCAGUUGGCUCACAACUGCCUGUAACUCUAGGGCCACAGGAUAGGAAUGCUUCCGACCUCCAAGGACACUCAUUAACAUGCACAUAGUCUAUACACACAACUUUUAAAAAGUAGUGAAGUUCUCGGC
rnacentral:lncRNA from 1 species